UCGGUAAAGAGCGGCGGACGGGUGAGUAACGCGUGGGUAACCUACCCUGUACACACGGAUAACAUACCGAAAGGUAUGCUAAUACGGGAUAAUAUAUUUGAGAGGCAUCUCUUAAAUAUCAAAGGUGAGCCAGUACAGGAUGGACCCGCGUCUGAUUAGCUAGUUGGUAAGGUAACGGCUUACCAAGGCGACGAUCAGUAGCCGACCUGAGAGGGUGAUCGGCCACAUUGGAACUGAGACA
rnacentral:rRNA from 1 species